UACGAAGGGGGCUAGCGUUGCUCGGAAUUACUGGGCGUAAAGCGCACGUAGGCGGUCUUUUAAGUCGGGGGUGAAAUCCUGGAGCUCAACUCCAGAACUGCCUUUGAUACUGAGGGUCUUGAGUCCGGGAGAGGUGAGUGGAACUGCGAGUGUAGAGGUGAAAUUCGUAGAUAUUCGCAAGAACACCAGUGGCGAAGGCGGCUCACUGGCCCGGUACUGACGCUGAGGCACGAAAGCGUGGGGAGCAAACAGG
rnacentral:rRNA from 1 species